UGGAAAGGGAAUACAGAAAUGUGCAUAUCAAUUAGCCCAAAAACCCUAGCUUAUAUACAGGAGCAAGUGGUUCGGAUUGAAACCAAUCCGACGGCUACCAAAAUCCCACUACGCUAAUAUUAGUAUACGGCAUCGUAGCCGUACACUUGGCCCUCACAUAUAUCAUAUAUAUUCUUUUCUUUUUAACGGCCUGCCGACCCUGAAAUCGGUUCAAUCGGAGAUAGGGUCUCACGGCCGGCAGAGCACCACACGUCCUGUGGUGUCCGGUGCGCCCCCGGCGGUCCUUGAAAAUCUGGAGGAGCGAGUGCUGAGCUUGCCCGGCUGUACUCAUAACCGCAUCAGGUCUCCAAGGUGAGCAACCUCU
rnacentral:ncRNA from 1 species